ACGGCGGGCGGCCGAUGAUGUGUGGGCGUGGAUUGUUUCCGUUUAUUUUUAUUUAUAAGUUCAUAAACAUAAUGCUAGUAAAAAUUAUUAGAAUUAAAAAUAACACUGGUAUUGUGCUCCCAGGUACCUAUGAGAGUACACAAACGUAAAGGUCGUUAGACUAUCAGAACCUUUUUAUAGACAGGUUGGGACGAUACGAUUUUAUCCUGCGACCGAUUUACACCGCAACUCUAAACGCACUACACUACUACAGUUCAAGUUUCAAGAGAAUACUGGGACUGGCAUUGGCAUGGCAUGGCGAUGGCACUCCGGUAGAGUGAAAAUGGAAAACCAAAAGGGCAUAAAACACUCAGUGCGAUUGAGUGGAGUGAUGAGUACAAAUCAACUAUCAACCCAUCAAACAAGACUCACUCACAGACAAAACCGUAGUUAUAACUUGUACUUUAUACAGAAUUACUAUAUACGAGCUGAUAAAAGUAAAUCAAACAUAGAUAUGCACUCAAUUGAAAUGGUAUAAUUGAUAAGCGGCUUGCAUUUAUAGCCAAUAAGUUGUAUUCCUUUGUUUUCCAAAUUACAAAUGUUUUUAAUUACAUAUUUAUUAAUAAAUACUCAUGCAACAUAUUAAGUGUUAAUACAUUUUAAAUAAAGUACUCACUCGCGAAAAGACCUCUGCCUUUUUUGUAUGACCGUAGAAUUUGGGUCAGUUCCUGUAAGACCAAAAGAAAGAAAAAAGUUAAAUUAACAUCUUUCACUGUAUAUGGAUGCAUUAAUUUUUAUAAGGAAUAUACAAAAAAAGUCAAUUAAAACAAACUAUCAACACUAUCAAAAACAUUCACACAUUACGAACAAAAAAUCAUAGCUUAAACAAAACGAAAAUACCAAAAUUAUAAAGAAAAGAAAAUCCA